AUACGGAGGGUGCAAACGCUGUUCGGAAUUACUGGGCGUAAAGCGCGCGUAGGCGGUUUGUUAAGUCAGAUGUGAAAGUCCACAGCUCAACUGUGGAAGUGCAUUUGAAACUGGCAGACUUGAGUACUGGAGGGGGUGGUGGAAUUCCCGGUGUAGAGGUGAAAUUCGUAGAUAUCGGGAGGAAUACCGGUGGCGAAGGCGACCACCUGGCCAGAUACUGACGCUGAGGUGCGAAAGCGUGGGGAGCGAACAGGAUUAGAUACCCCAGUAGUCC
rnacentral:rRNA from 1 species